AAUAAGGUGCCUGAUUAAAGGACUACUUUGAUAGAGUAGAUUAAGUAUAUAAUAUACCCUUAUUA
rnacentral:tRNA from 1 species